AUUGAACGCUGGCGGCAGGCCUAACACAUGCAAGUCGAGCGGUAGAGAGGAGCUUGCUUCUCUUGAGAGCGGCGGACGGGUGAGUAAUGCCUAGGAAUCUGCCUGGUAGUGGGGGAUAACGUUCGGAAACGGACGCUAAUACCGCAUACGUCCUACGGGAGAAAGUGGGGGAUCUUCGGACCUCACGCUAUCAGAUGAGCCUAGGUCGGAUUAGCUAGUUGGUGAGGUAAAGGCUCACCAAGGCGACGAUCCGUAACUGGUCUGAGAGGAUGAUCAGUCAAACUGGAACUGAGACACGGUCCAGACUCCUACGGGAGGCAGCAGUGGGGAAUAUUGGACAAUGGGCGCAAGCCUGAUCCAGCCAUGCCGCGUGUGUGAAGAAGGUCUUCGGAUUGUAAAGCACUUUAAGUUGGGAGGAAGGUCAGUAGCUUAAUACGUUGCUGAUUUGACGUUACCGACAGAAUAAGCACCGGCUAACUCUGUGCCAGCAGCCGCAGUAAGAC
rnacentral:rRNA from 1 species